rnacentral:lncRNA from 1 species
AGAAGAUGGAACAAUGGUGAUCGUAAUCAUAAGGAAUGCCUUGUGACGAAAAACUAUGUAUUUUUUUUUAUUUUUCAUUUAUUUUUAGAAAUAGAACCAUGGAAGCCUUGGCUGAAAAUUUUAUUUUAUCACCCAUCUCUUUAUAUAUUUGUUUAAUAUUUCUUUACGAUUUAAUUGUGAUAUAUAUGUAUGAGAUGAUCCACGGUUGAUCUAUUAAAGAUAGGAAGUG